UCUAGAAGAAAUGGAUAAAUUCCUCGACACAUACACCCUCCCAAGACUAAACCAGGAAGAAGUUGAAUCUCUGAAUAGACCAAUAAUAGGCUCUGAAAUUGUGGCAAUAAUCAAUAGCUUACCAACCAAAAAGAGUCCAGGACCAGAUGGAUUCACAGCCGAAUUCUACCAGAGGUACAAGGAGGAACUGCUACCAUUCCUUCUGAAACUAUUCCAAUCAAUAGAAAAAGAGGGAAUCCUCCCUAACUCAUUUUAUGAGGCCAGCAUCAUCCUGAUACUGGAGCCCGCAUCACCAAGUCAAUCCUAAGCCAAAAGAACAAAGCUGGAGGCAUCACGCUACCUGACUUCAAACUAUACUAUAAGGCUACAGUAACCAAAACAGCAUGGUACUGGUACCAAAACAGACAUAUAGAUCAAUGGAACAGAACAGAGCCCUCAGAAAUAACGCCGCAUAUCUACAACUACCUGAUCUUUGACAAACCUGAGAAAAACAAGCAAUGGGGAAAGGAUUCCCUAUUUAAUAAAUGGUGCUGGGAAAACUGGCUAGCCAUAUGUAGAAAGCUGAAACUGGAUCCCUUCCUUACACCUUAUACAAAAAUUAAUUCCAUGAUGCUUUGGGAAAAGGGAACACAGGGGUGGCGGGGGAGGGGGUCACAAACAGAGGCCACUGGAAGUUUUAAUAUAUUCAAGCACAUCUUUCUUUUUACCUGACUCAUGAAAUCACCAGAUUGGCCCUCAGAAGAUUUUAUGGAUCAAAUACAAAGAAAACUGUAAUUACUAAUAAAUAAAUAAAAUAAAAAAUAUAUAGUAUGUUCAAUUGUCCUUUCCAUCACAGAAAUUAAUUUUUAAAUGACCACAAAAAUGUUUUUGCUCACCAAUAAAACCUCUUUUUUUAUGCUAUUCCUUGAUAUUUUUCUCUUUUCUGCAAGAAAAAAUAUGCUUAUGUGCAGAAAGUCUGGCUUG
rnacentral:lncRNA from 1 species